UACGUAGGGUGCGAGCGUUAAUCGGAAUUACUGGGCGUAAAGCGUGCGCAGGCGGUUUGCUAAGACAGGUGUGAAAUCCCCGGGCUUAACCUGGGAACUGCGCUUGUGACUGGCAGGCUAGAGUACGGUAGAGGGGGGUGGAAUUCCUGGUGUAGCAGCGAAAUGCGUAGAUAUCAGGAGGAACACCGAUGGCGAAGGCAGCCCCCUGGGAUAACACUGACGCUCAUGCACGAAAGCGUGGGGAGCAAACAGGAUUAGAUACCCGUGUA
rnacentral:rRNA from 1 species